rnacentral:rRNA from 1 species
GAUGAACGCUAGCGGCAGGCCUAACACAUGCAAGUCGAGGGGCAGCACAGAAACAGCAAUGUUUUGGUGGCGACCGGCGGACGGGUGCGUAACGCGUAUGCAACCUACCUUUAACAGGGGGAUAACGGAGAGAAAUUUCCACUAAUACCCCAUAACAUCGAUCAAGGCAUCUUGAUUGGUUGAAAACUCCGGUGGUUAAAGAUGGGCAUGCGUUGUAUUAGGUAGUUGGUGAGGUAAUGGCUCACCAAGCCUACGAUACAUAGGGGGACUGAGAGGUUAGCCCCCCACACUGGUACUAAGACACGGACCAGACUCCUACGGGAGGAAGCAGUGAGGAAUAUUGGUCAAUGGGGGCAACCCUGAACCAGCCAUGCCGCGUGCAGGAAGACGGCUCUAUGAGUUGUAAACUGCUUUUAAACAGGGAUAAAGCACAGUAUGUAUACUGUGUUGAAGGUACUGUAAGAAUAAGGAUCGGCUAGCUCCGUGCCAGCCGCCGCAGUAA